GGGUGAGUAACACGUGGAUAACCUACCUAUAAGACUGGGAUGACUUCGGGAAACCGGAGCUAAUACCGGAUAAUAUAUUGAACCGCAUGGUUCAAUAGUGAAAGACGGUUUUGCUGUCACUUAUAGAUGGAUCCGCGCCGCAUUAGCUAGUUGGUAAGGUAACGGCUUACCAAGGCAACGAUGCGUAGCCGACCUGAGAGGGUGAUCGGCCACACUGGAACUGAGACACGGUCCAG
rnacentral:rRNA from 1 species